AUGACAACUGCAAUAGUGGUGGGUGUUUCUACCGGCGCCAUGAAACCUGUUCUCGAUAAGCUGUCCAUUCUUAUGGGAGGCGAGUUCUCGAAGAUGAAAAACGUGCGGAAGGAUGUACAGUUUCUCAGUGAUGAGCUUACAAGCAUGAAAGAUCUUCUUGAGAACCUUGCACUUGUGGACGAGCUAGAUCCACAAACCAAGAGAUGGAGAGACAAAGUAAGGGACAUGUCUUAUGACAUUGAGAACAUUAUUGAUGACAUCAGGCGAAAAUUUGUGGAGAAAAAUGAAAAGGAAGGGCUUGCCAAGAAGACUGUUCGGUUCCUUCAAACUUUCAGAGCCCGUUACCAGAUUGCUGGCCAGAUUGAAGGGAUCAAGAAAUUAGUGCUUGAAACUAGUGACAGACGCAACAGGUAUAAGUUCAAUACUCCUCCGCCAAACGAUGUGGCCAUUGACCCACGAGUUGCCAUACUCCAACAAGAUGCAGAUAGCUUUGUCGGUUUGAAAGUGCCAACUGAUGAGCUCGUCGACUGGUUAAAUGACAAGGAGAUGCAUUUGAAGGUGGUAUCCAUUGUGGGAUUUGGAGGUCUGGGCAAAACUACACUCGCCAAUGAGAUAUACCGUCAACCCGAUGGAGGAUUUGAAUGUCGUGCAUUUGUCCCAGUGACACAAAAACAUAACAUCCCAAAACUUAUUCGUAGUUUACUAUCUGAACUUGGGAGUGAUGCAUGUUCUUAUGAUUGUGAAGUAAAUGUUCUUCUCAACAAACUCAAAGAACAUCUACAAAAAAAGAGGUACUUGAUUGUAAUUGAUGAUCUAUGGGAGAAGUUACCAUGGGAUGUUAUUAAAGGUGCUUUCCCAGAUAAUGGCCUUGGCAGUAGAGUAAUAACAACCACAAGAAUACAUGAUGUGGCUAAGGCAUGUUGCUCCCAUCCUCGUGAUUAUAUUUUGGAAAUGAAGCCACUUAGCGAUGAAGACUCAAGAAGACUGUUCUUUAAUAGGAUAUUUAACUCUGAAGAAGCUUGCCCUUGCCAGCUUCGGGAUAUUUCUACUGAAAUUCUCAAAAAAUGUGAUGGUAUGCCCCUUGCAAUUAUUACUGUAUCAGGCAUGCUAGCAAGUGAAUGCUUAGACCAACAGGAUUGGGAGCAUAUACGGAAUUCACUAGGUUCUGGAACAAAUUUCACGUUGAAAGGGAUGAGAAAAAUCUUAGAUCUCAGCUACAAGAACCUUCCUCCUCACCUCAAGACAUGCUUGUUGUAUCUUGGUAUGUAUCCCGAGGACUUCAAAAUACAGAGGCAUCAUUUGGAACUUCAAUGGAUUGCCGAAGGCUUUAUUAGUAAAGAGAAUGGGCAAGAUGUGGAGAAGGUUGCAAGAAGUUAUUUCAACGAGCUUGUCAAUAGGAGCCUUAUUCAACCUAUAAGAUUUGACAACUGUGGGUUGGUCACGCAUUGCAAAGUUCAUGAUAUGAUGCGUGAUCUUAUCUUGUGUAAAUGUGCAGAAGAAAAUUUUCUCACCAUAAUAGAUGAACCUGAAGCCAUCACAAAACCGGAUAACAAGGUCCGUCGAUUGUCUCUCCACCUGCAUGAUGAUGAAGUUAAUGGAACAGAGUUAUGGGUUAACAUUAGUCUGUCCCAAGUUCGGACUUUUAUGAUCUUUGGUGACCGUGAUGCUAAGAUAUUUAGCGGUUGA
rnacentral:rRNA from 1 species